rnacentral:rRNA from 1 species
GACGUAGGGCGCGAGCGUUGUCCGGAUUUAUUGGGCGUAAAGAGCUCGUAGGCGGUUUGUCGCGUCGUUCGUGAAAACUCACAGCUCAACUGUGAGCUUGCGGUCGAUACGGGCAGGCUAGAGUUCGGUAGGGGAGACUGGAAUUCCUGGUGUAGCGGUGAAAUGCGCAGAUAUCAGGAGGAACACCGGUGGCGAAGGCGGGUCUCUGGGCCGAUACUGACGUUGAGGAGCGAAAGCGUGGGGAGCGAACAGG